UUGUCCGAAAGAAGGCGUGGGGGGCGACUCACAGGUCCAUAGUGACCUUGAUUCCCCCGGGAAGGUCUGAGACAAGGUCCCGUUCCCAUCGGGUGGAACGGUGGGUCUGAGAAGGACCCCGUUCGUGAGAACGGGAGGCUGUAACAGAAACACACCCUGCGGGGUUUGAACACAGCCUCGACCGGCAAAAUACCUGAGUGCGAUCGCCAACUUAACACAAUUCAGACUAGUCUUCGGAAAA